AAGAGGUGGAAUUUGGAGCACUGUGAACGUUGGUUUUCUCCCUCCUCCUGUGUGUGUAUCUCCAGAAGGACAGAAAAUUAAGCAAAAGAACAGAAUACAUUCUGGAUUUUCUUCCUGUGUGCAGUCUACACUGAUUGAAGUGUUGAACCCACUCAUAGGACCAGCUUACUUUACUAUCUUUGAACCUGGAAAAGACUGGAGGCAUUUUGAAAGAGAUGAAAAAGUGUCCAUCCUAUAUUCCUGGAUAACUUUUAUGGCAUGUGACUGAGCUGAGAUAUUCAGAUACAGGCCAAAUGUCUUCAGUGCUGUUGAACUGUUGGUCAGUGGAAAAUACAUGGGGGAGCAAAUUAUGACAAUUACCUCUGUGGGAAAAUUUUCAGACAGAGCUUUGCUCCUUAAGCAGGCAUGGACUACAUUGAAUUGCACAAUCUUUCAGCUGCAUGUAACUAAAUGUAACUGCAUGUAACUAUGUCAGAAACAAAGUAUCAUCUCUUUUUCCAUUGUUAGUAAAAAUGUUUGCUUCUGAAGACUAGUUGCAGUGUUCUGUGAAAGCACGUGCUUUUCUGCUUGAGUAGAGGGAAAAACAGAUGCUCCUAAUUGUGUAUGCCUGUGUUCUUUGUAACCCCAUGGAGAUGCAGGAGGAGAAACUGAGCACGGAGUUCAGUUAGGUGAAUUAAUUCUGCUUCUAAGCUGUUGUUUUAGGUAUAUUUAUGAUGCUUCAAUAUGUGGUAGUUUAACAGCAGAACUCUUAUUGAGUGGUAAACAUUCGUGGGUAGGAAAUAUUUGAAGUUCAUACAUAAAGCACGGUUCAAUUUACUUAAAUCUGUGAACAGACUUUAGUCUUCUCUGCU